rnacentral:lncRNA from 1 species
AUGGCCACCAGAAUUGCUCAAAAGAUAUAUUAAUUCCAUCAACUAUUGGCUAGCGUAUAUAUAUUUGAGUAUAGUCGAAACCCAAUGAAAACAAUCAUAAAUAUCCAGUUGAUUGAUGUCCAUAAACACCUACACAUCGUAUUCAUGAAAAUCUCUCGUACCAAAUGCUUACUAUUACAGCGUGGCCAGCCAACGUGACUUCUGGAUACAGAACAUGCGGAGAAUAUGUCCCGCUUCGGAGGAAAACAUCACCGGCAAUUUAUAACGGACUUUGUGUACCAAUGUCCUGAUGAUCAUUUUAGUUUUCGUUUCCAAAGAGCAUAGGCAUGUUAUAAAUACUGUAGUGAAUGCGAGAUUAAAUAAUGGUGAGAUACCUCUUUCAGACGUAAACUACUACCAAAAUCACAACAUUUUACAAAUUUUACAAAAGAAUGAAGGAAAAUGGAAAGAAGUUCCGCGUUAAACAGCCCCUUUGACUAUGACUAGCUUCUUUGCUUAGGUAUGACUGAGUACGACCAUCUCGCAAACAUAUUGUUUACCUUUUCAUCACAUAUUUUACUGACAAUAUCGUUUCAUCUAGCCUUGGAGUAAGUGUAUAAAUGUACAAUUACCGGAGAAAGAAAUUCAAUAGAUGUAAAAAGCCGAAGAACAAAACAGCGAAAGACAAAAUGUUUCGUAAACUUAUUUUUCUUAUUGCCAUCGUAUGCCUGGUGGAAACGACGUGGAUUUUAGAACGCCCCUGCGAACUUGGAUGUCGUGCUUUCAAGUGUUUUUUCGGUAUACAAUGUGCUGAAUGCGAACCUGGUUACUGUUUAUACUUUCCAAAAGAUGGAUCGAUGGUGUCUUGCAUGCCAGAAAUAUUUUGUGGAAAUGGUUGUGAGAUCAAAGAUGCUGGUUUGUUCAACAUAUGUGUGCCUGUGAGUUAAAGAAAGUGCCACUGGACACAAAUAUCCGGACAAUAGCGCUUAUUAAUUACAUGCUUUAAACUUUUAACACAUGAAACAUACAUUUGAAUCAAAAAGUUUUUUAUCAUUAAUAAGAGAUUUUUUUUAUCAAUUCCUUUCUUUGAAAUAAAUUCGUUCACAAAA